CGUACACACCCAUUCAUCUACUGCACUGACGACUGGCACCGCAGCGCUGUCAUCACCGGGCCAUUGCUGAGUUCAUGCGGUCGAGAGAGAAAGAGGGAUGACAGUGACCGGGACGACGACUCGUCAGCUUUGCUCCGUCCCCACGACAGCCGCGAUGUCGCUCGCUGAGGAAAGUGCACGCCGCCGCGUGCGAAGGCUCGCCGGCAUGGGCAAAUAUGAGCUCGCUGAAGAGCUUCUGCAAAGCGAUUGUGCCCAGAGCGAAACGGCGCUCUCUGCGGCGGCCAUGCAGUUGGAAAGAGACGGUGCACAUCAGUGGAAUGCGCUGCAACGAGCCGAAGGUCAAUACCUCUUGCAGCAGCGGCGCGCCGCAUCGCAAGAGAAGCGCGUACACUUGGAGCGUCUUCUCCGCUCACAAGCUGAACGACGCCGAGCGGACGAGGAGGAGCUGGCCCGGUUCGCCGCCUCUGAGACUGUGAAACUGCAAACCAUGCCGAUAGCUGUCCCUCGCGAGGUGCUGGUGUUGCAACAGCAGGAGACAGAGCUGAGAUGGGAAGGCAGCUUUUCUGAGGCUGCCAAGCGCCGCCGCGAUGCGGCGCGCCUAGAAAGAGAACUCUUGGGCGCCUAUUUGCUCAGCCGAGGCAGCUUGCUCGAACAUCGCAUCACUCGUCAGGCGGCUGCCUUGCUCAAGCGGGAAACUAUAGCGCUAGAGAAGGAUGAUGCCAGCAUGGCUGCGCUGCAGGCGAAGCAUGCAGGACAUCGUCGGUGUGCCGUGGCGCAGCUGAGACACAUCGAGGAUGGGAUGCUUGCCGCACAGAGCCGCACCCAUCGCUACUUGCAGGAGACGCGUGCGCGCAACGGCAUGCUCAGCGCUACGCACACCAGGACUCAGCGCGGCACUGCACUGGAAAGGCGUGUGUACGGCGAUGCCUACCGGCUGCCAUCGUUGUGCGAGCUGUACGGCUCACUAAUGGAAGAGCGUCCUUCUACCUCGCCAGCCGUGUAGCUGUAGUGAGCGGAGGCAACGCUGUGAGAGAUAAGGUGAAGUGGAGUGUGGCGCGCUACCAAACAGUGUCACGUCUCUCCUUCUUUCCUUAACGAGAGUGCCGCGUUGUUUAUAUAAUUUUUUCCAUUCCACUCAAAGGAAAUCGAGAAUGGUGGAACACUUUUGAUGUACACUACGAUGGAAUCUAGCAACAAGGCAUGAGCCGCAUUGCAUGCAUUGGCGGUACACAGCCACAAAGACACCACACACACACACAUGCAGGUGCCUCCAACUCACAGGAAAAGUCCCCUCUCAUUGAUGUCACCGACGUUGUGCUCGAUAUCACUCAACACGCAGGCUGCUGGAAAAUGCAGUUGCUGCUCUUUGCGUACACGGAGUCGCAGCUCCUCAAAGUUCAUAUUUGCUGAACGCGACGGCAUGGAAGGGAAGAAAGGGGUGAGUUGGGCGUGGCGCAUGGGUUAGUGGGUGAGAGGAAAGGGAGAUAAAUCGAAAAGAGGGCAAAGACUCGCGGCACAGUGGCACUAGAGCACACAUAUUGGUUGGGCGCUUCUAGGAUUAGUCCGAUACGAGAGUGAUUCCGCAUCGUUCCUGCACUGCCACCACUCCCAGCGAACAGGUGCAUCACGCGUUGCUAAGUAAGACUGCUGCGUUACUCUUUCUCCUCUGCCCCCCCCCCCCCCCCCCCCCCCCCCCUUCCGACGACGACGGCCGCUUCUCCCACUUCUGCCUUUUUCUGUACUUUGCUUCGUUAG
rnacentral:misc_RNA from 1 species